rnacentral:rRNA from 1 species
UACGGAGGGAGCUAGCGUUGUUCGGAAUUACUGGGCGUAAAGCGCACGUAGGCGGCUAUUCAAGUCAGAGGUGAAAGCCCGGGGCUCAACCCCGGAACUGCCUUUGAAACUAGAUAGCUAGAAUCUUGGAGAGGUCAGUGGAAUUCCGAGUGUAGAGGUGAAAUUCGUAGAUAUUCGGAAGAACACCAGUGGCGAAGGCGACUGACUGGACAAGUAUGACGCUGAGGUGCGAAAGCGUGGGGAGCAAACAGGGAUUAAGAAACCCU